GGGCGUGUAGCGCAGUUGGUAGCGCGCUUGCCUUGCAAGCAAGAGGUCUUGGGUUCGAUUCCCAACUCGUCCA
rfam:Ascoidea rubescens DSM 1968 unplaced genomic scaffold ASCRTscaffold_9, whole genome shotgun sequence.